rnacentral:lncRNA from 10 species
CAACUUCUACUUUCUGCCCUGCAAAGAUUUCUGAGGCAAAGAAACACAAAGCCUGAUUACCCACUGAAAACCAAGAAAGGAGGUGAAACUACAAGGAGAAAAAGAGUUUAACCAAUUAACUUGCCAUUUAUGUAAAUUGUUUAGCACAAGGCACAAUACUUAACAAACAGGAACAAUUAUCAUUCCUGUGUGCCAGAAGCAGUCAACGCAAAAUAACACAUGGAUCCUGCCCUCAAUGACCUCACACUCUAGUGAGAAAGACAGACAAGAAAAGAGUUAUUCUCCUGACUUUCAAGCCAGAUAUGUACCACAACUGCAUUCUAGUUAACAAGAAGAGGUCAAGAUGAAGACUAUGACAAGUUGUUACAUCCCUAAGAAUAUAAUCUGAAAGCUGGACUUAUUACUUCCUCUACAGCUCAUUGGCCAGAAAUUAGUAACAUGUCCACACCAGGCAGCAAGUGGUGUGAGUAAUGCUAGUCUGUAACUAGGGAGCCAUGGGAUCAGCUAAAAUGUAGUAUAUUCUAGUAUUAAAAAG